GGGUACUUGAGGAGAGGUUGUCUGUGAUGAGUUCGCUUUAUUAAUGACGAAUAUAACACAGAUGGCCUGUUUUCAGUACCA
ensembl:miRNA MIR410 microRNA 410